GAGUGUGUGUGUGUGUGUGUGUGUGUGUGGUGCUGAUACUGGUGACAGGGUGACUGCCCACCAGAAGCAGCCAGCCUUCGGCUAUUGAUGUGGUUUCAGAUUAGGGCCGCCGCUGGAAAGUGAGGUGGCGGAGAUGUCGUUUGGUGGACCGGUUUGCGCUGGCCGGCUUCCUUCCUCUGUGGGAGCUGGUCUUUCGAGAGUUUCCAUGUGGUUAGACACUCAGUUGUGCCAGUUAGAUGCCAAGCCAGAGCUUGGCAUGCACACGGGCCGGUUCCCAGGGGUAAUUCUACCCUUCUUGGUUAGUUCGGGUUUUUUCCCCAACGACUGUG